UUACAUUUUCAAAGAAAUAAUUCAAAGUCACAAAGGCGUUCACCAUACAUCCAAUUUAUCUUUUUCGUGUUUCAUGCCAAGAUCACAAGAAUUGAAAGAGGUAGUAAAUUGAAAAAGCCUUGGAAUUUUGUUUUGAAGUAUAUGGAGGGAAAGGCAUUUCAAAUAGAAUUUGAAGAAAAGGGACCAUUUCAUUACAUUUUAGGGAAAUUAUACAAGAUGCAUCGGGUAAAAAAACAGAAAAGUCAGCAUGUACACAUAAAUUGCCCUGCAUAUCAUUCAACCAGAAAAAAAAGAAAAUCAGAAAGAAAUUUCACAAAAUCAGAAAUCCAGCUAAGCAUAUCGGAAGUUUCGAAGGUUGAAUCGAAAUUGAAUCCAUGA